rnacentral:rRNA from 1 species
CUACGGGAGGCACCAGUGGGGAAUAUUGCACAGUGGAGGAAACUCUGAUGCAGCAACGCCGCGUGGAGGAUGACACUUUUCGGAGCGUAAACUCCUUUUAUAUAGGAAGAAGAUGACGGUACUAUAUGAAUAAGCGCCGGCUAACUCCGUGCCAGCAGCCGCGGUACAUACGGAUGGCGCAAGCGUUACUCGGAAUCACUGGGCGUAAAGAGCGUGUAGGCGGAUUAAAAAGUCAGAAGUGAAAUCCUAUAGCUUAACUAUAGAACUGCUUCUGAAACUCUUAAUCUAGAAUAUGGGAGAGGUAGAGGGAAUUUCUGGUGUAGGGGUAAAAUCCGUAGAGAUCAGAAGGAAUACCGAUUGCGAAGGCGAUCUACUAGAACAUUAUUGACGCUGAGACGCGAAAGCGUGGGGAGCAAACAGGAUUAGAUACCCGAGUAGUC